UACGUAGGGUGCGAGCGUUAAUCGGAAUUACUGGGCGUAAAGAGUGCGUAGGCGGUUCUUGAAGUCCGCUGUGAAAGCCCCGGGCUUAACCUGGGAAUGGCAGUGGAAACUGGAGGACUUGAAUUGAGCAGAGGGGGGUGGAAUGCCGCGUGUAGCAGUGAAAUGCGUAGAGAUCCGGAGGAACACCGACGGCGCAGGCAGCGUCCUGGCCGCUUGCUGACACUGAGGCACGAAAGCUGGGGGAGCAAACAGG
rnacentral:rRNA from 1 species